rnacentral:rRNA from 1 species
AUGCUGGAGAUUGUGUUGCCAUCGCCAGCCGGAGGAUGCCUCCUGCACCGGUACCAUCCGAAGGUUCGCCCCAGGCACCGCCGCCGGCGCGUCGCGGUGUUCGCUGUCCAUGAACCGCACCGUACGGUGCUCCUGCCCGCGUGGUCUUGCUCAGGCAGGACCAGGAAUACGACGCCGCCGAUGAGCACACGUACCGCGCGCUCUCCGGCGAAGAUGAUGCUGAGGAAUCCCGUGAGCCGCCCGCCGGGGGAGGCCAGCUUGCGGAAGUCCCUGAGCUUGGCGCGGAUGGAGGCUUCCGCUAGCUUCUUGGUCUUCUUCUAG